UUUGUUUUCUCUGGUCCAUCAAGGGAUCCCCUUCUUCUUGUGCUGAUUGAAGACCUUGCGAUCUCUCUUCCGCUUCCUCGGCUAAGUAACGUUCCAGAGUCAAUCACUAAAGAAAACUCAAUAAUCCCACGAUUUCCUCUUCACUGCAACUUUUGGAUUCUCUCAGUUUCAAACUCUAUAUAUCCUUUUGUUCUCUAGCUUUUCCUCUUUACCAAAAUUAUCAAAAUCAAAGAAUCUUGGCGAUCUUCUACACUCCAAGCUGUGAGAUUUCUUUACAAACAGUGGUCGCAAAGUUGAUUUUGUACAGAUGGAAUUGCUGAUGAUUCCUUGAGUGAUGAGACACCCACGUCAAGUUUUUAAACUUGAGCACUGAAACUUCACAUGAAGCAAAAUACGCUGGUGCACAGGACAAUAAAUCUUCUUAUAAUGAGGAUGUUGUACUAGGAAAUUAAGAAGCCUUUGGUCUCAUGCGUUUUCAUUCAAAAGAAGACCACAAUGAGCUACUCUAUUGUCUCGUGGGCGUGUACGGCAUGGUCAAACGGCUCAAAGUUCUCAUGGUAAGGACAUUGCUACUCUUUAUCUGUUUGGAUGUGACAUGGUGUUGGAUUGGGUGGAGCAAGAAGCACAUGUGGCAGGGUGUCGUUCGACGUCUGAAGCAGAGAGGUAUCAAGGGAGGAAGAGGAAGCAAGAGAACAAAGGGAAAUGGAGUAUAGACCUCCUAAGCAAGCAAUUUCAAGCAAGGUGUAUGAUUUGGACCUGAAUGGGUUCACGGAGUCGCAACUGCGGUACGAAAUCGUAACUGUUUGAGAUACUAGAUAUGUGGAUCCUACCUUCAUAUGAUUCGAAGUUUCUGUAGACCAAGAACCUUGUAGCUUCUGAGAAGAAGCGGCUUGGGUUUGCUUGAAGCUGAGAAGAAGAGGGCACAUGCUUUUGUCUAGCAAGUACGCCACGUUGCCAACUCUGUUUCUAAUCAGCGUGAGAUGGAUAGAAGUAAAAUGAGGGACAAACUUGAAGACAAAUUUCUAAGGG